AUACAUAGCUUACUUCCCCCCCGAAGAACACAACAAAACCAGUUGGAAAAAUACCCGGGAGCUUUAGCUAACUAGCUAUCUUAUUAUUUAAAAAUUUCCCUCUAGUAGAUCAAUAACUAAUGAGGUAAAUAACUCAGUACUUUGACCAACCUAUAUCGACUGGUUGACCUCUGACCAAUUUUGUAUCUCGUGCGCUUUGCCCAUAAAGGUUUUCUGGUAUAUUUGCUGUAGCUAAUUUUUGAGAUGCCUUCAUUUUUACCUACGGUGGCCGAACAACUCUUCAAAGACAUACAGAAGACAUACCAAGAGAAAACUAAAAUUCCUGAUGACCUGCUUAUUGCGCUGAGGUUUGUGUUUGGCUCCUGUGCCCUCCAGGCCUUGGACCUGGUGGACCAGCGCUCUGUCACCUGUGUCUCAUCCCCCAGUGGACGGAGAGCAUAUCAGGUGAUUGGAGGGUCAGGGCUGCUGUACACCUGCUACACCUCCUGUCACUACUGCUCCUGCCCAGCCUUCGCCUACACUGUGCUCAGGAGGAACGAGAGUCUACUGUGCAAGCACAUCCUGGCCGCCUACCUCAGUCAGGCCAUGGGGCUGUCCCAGCAGGAGGCCCUGUCUGACCAGCAGAUGUCCAGCAUCCUUUCUGGGAGAGCAGCAAGAACUGACACGUAGAGCACCAGACCCCCAGGUCACUGAUCCAGACCUACAUGUAGAAGACCAGACCGCAGCUACAGACCCAGAGCACAGAGACGUAGAGCACAACCCAACAGGUCACUCAUCCAGACCUACAUGUAGAAGACCAGACCGCAGCUACAGACCCAGAGCACAGAGACGUAGAGCACAACCCAACAGGUCACUCAUCCAGACCUACAUGUAGAAGACCAGACCGCAGCUACAGACCCAGAGCACAGAGACGUAGAGCAUAACCCAACAGGUCACUGAUCCAGACCUACAUGUAGAAGACCAGACCGCAGCUACAGACCCAGAGCACAGAGACGUAGAGCACAACCCAACAGGUCACUCAUCCAGACCUACAUGUAGAAGACCAGACCGCAGCUACAGACCCAGAGCACAGAGACGUAGAGCACAACCCAACAGGUCACUCAUCCAGACCUACAUGUAGAAGACCAGACCGCAGCUACAGACCCAGAGCACAGAGACGUAGAGCACAACCCAACAGGUCACUCAUCCAGACCUACAUGUAGAAGACCAGACCGCAGCUACAGACCCAGAGCACAGAGACGUAGAGCACAACCCAACAGGUCACUCAUCCAGACCUACAUGUAGAAGACCAGACCGCAGCUACAGACCCAGAGCACAGAGACGUAGAGCACAACCCAACAGGUCACUCAUCCAGACCUACAUGUAGAAGACCAGACCGCAGCUACAGACCCAGAGCACAGAGACGUAGAGCACAACCCAACAGGUCACUGAUCCAGACUCAAAGCCACACAGCACCAUCUGAGACCAAGCUACUGCAGCACAUCCUGAGGAAAGAUGUUUAAAAGGCAAAGCUGCUGUAUAGUCUCCUCCAGUCUGUCUGCAUGUGUGAAGAUGACUUUUAUGGCUUUUAGGUCAUUGUGCUGUUCUUCUCGAACUCUGGUGUGGUUCCCCGCUUUCUGAAAAUCAAAAGACAACAGAUGUUGCUGUUUUUUGUGAGUGUUCGUGUUCUUAAUCUGUUGCCAGAGAAUAUGCAUCUGUUCAUUGACUGUAUUUUAAGACUCUCCUUUUAUAUGAAAAUGGUUGUUAUAUGUAGGUUGUGUAAACUCUUGUAAGAAUAUGAGUCUGACUUAUGAACAUUUUAUUUGUAUUUUUUAUUUAACCAGGCAAGUCAUACAUAGCUUUUAUUGACAAAAUAAUUCACCAUACAGAUUUUCUCAUGUUAAAUAGCAGUAUUGGUUUAGUUGUCAGUUGAGUGAAAUAAUAAUUCAGACAUUCUACUGCACUGUUGGAGCUACUAACAUAAGCAUUUCGCUGCACCUACUAUAACACCAGCAAAACUGUGUACACAACCAAUACACUUUGAUUUGAACCACAGUUAACUGUUUAGGCUACUGGUUAGCGACAUCAAUACUGUAACACAUUUGCAAACGCACAGGUUGGAAAACUACAUCAGCUUGUUCUUGUAUGGUUUUCUUCUUAAAUUGUAGGAAGGCUUCAUUCACAAGUCAGGCUUGUUGAAGGCUUUUACAACCCACUGUAUGUUGCAGGGUUGGGGCAAUUCCAUUUCAAUUCAAUCAACUCCGGAAGUAAACAAACGCCAAUUCCACAUUUUUCUCAGUAAGAAGCAUUUGGGGAAUUGGAAUUUGAGUUUACUGAAUUGUAAUGGAAUUGAACCCUUAUCUUGAUGCUAAGGUCACAUUUGAAUGAACACAUAAUAGUAAUACCAGUACAGUGCAGUCUCCAAUGGAAUGUACUUGAAGUUUGGCACACUCCUAUAGUUUAGCCCUUGAAGUUGUAGAGGUGAUGGUUGAUGUGUAUGGUGAAGAAAUGGAAAAACUAAGAAAUUAAACAAUGGAAAUACUGUA